CCUACGGGUGGCUGCAGUGGGGAAUAUUGGACAAUGGGCGAAAGCCUGAUCCAGCCAUGCCGCGUGUGUGAAGAAGGCCUUCGGGUUGUAAAGCACUUUCAGUGGGGAAGAAAGCCUUGGGGCUAAUACCCUAGAGGAAGGACAUUACCCACAGAAGAAGCACCGGCUAACUCCGUGCCAGCAGCCGCGGUAAUACGGAGGGUGCGAGCGUUAAUCGGAAUUACUGGGCGUAAAGCGCGCGUAGGCGGUCUGAUAAGCCGGAUGUGAAAGCCCCGGGCUCAACCUGGGAACGGCAUCCGGAACUGGCAAGCUAGAGUCCAGUAGAGGAAGGUGGAAUUCCCGGUGUAGCGGUGAAAUGCGUAGAGAUCGGGAGGAAUACCAGUGGCGAAGGCGGCCUUCUGGACUGACACUGACGCUGAGGUGCGAAAGCGUGGGUAGCAAACAGGAUUAGAUACCCGAGUAGUC
rnacentral:rRNA from 1 species